UACCCCGUCGGAUAAUGGUAGUCCACUACGCUCUGAACGUAGGAAUUGAGGUUCGAGUCCUUGCGGGGUAA
rnacentral:tRNA from 1 species